rnacentral:tRNA from 1 species
GCUGGGGUCGCAUAGCCUGGCCAUUGCGGCAGAUUCAGGCUCUGCUGUUCUACCAGAACACGCGGGUUCAAAUCCCGCCCCCAGCG